UACGGAGGGUGCAAGCGUUAUCCGGAUUCACUGGGUUUAAAGGGUGCGUAGGUGGGUUGGUAAGUCAGUGGUGAAAUCUCCGUGCUUAGCAUGGAAACUGCCAUUGAUACUACUGAUCUUGAAUUUUCAGGAGGUAAGCGGAAUAUGUCAUGUAGCGGUGAAAUGCUUAGAUAUGACAUAGAACACCAAUUGCGAAGGCAGCUUACUACAGGAAUAUUGACACUGAUGCACGAAAGCGUGGGGAUCAAACAGG
rnacentral:rRNA from 1 species